rnacentral:rRNA from 1 species
GGAUGAACGCUGACAGAAUGCUUACCCCAUGCAAGUCUACUUGAACUUCGGUUUGGGUGGCGGACGGGUGAGUAACGCGUAAAGAACUUGCCUCACAGUUAGGGACAACAUUUGGAAACGAAUGCUAAUACCUGAUAUUAUGAUUUUAGGGCAUCCUAGGAUUAUGAAAGCUAUAUGUGCUGUGAGAGAGCUUUGCGUCCCAUUAGCUAGUUGGAGAGGUAACGGCUCACCAAGGCGAUGAUGGGUAGCCGGCCUGAGAGGGUGAACGGCCACAAGGGGACUGAGACACGGCCCUUACUCCUACGGGAGGCAGCAGUGGGGAAUAUUGGACAAUGGACCAAAAGUCUGAUCCAGCAAUUCUGUGUGCACGAUGACGUUUUUCGGAAUGUAAAGUGCUUUCAGUUGGGAAGAAAAAAUGACGGUACCAACAGAAGAAGUGACGGCUAAAUACGUG